rnacentral:lncRNA from 1 species
AUGUCAUAUUUAUAUCUAAAUUUUAGAUUGUAUAUAUGUAUUUUCUUCUGGGCUUGGGUAGGAUUAGAUUUAAUCUAUUGCAUGUGGGGGUUAAAGGGUUUAACCCAUUUGUUUUCCACUGCAGUUUUCAAAAUUUUUGAAAUCUAUAUAUGCUGCCUAUCUGAUUUUCUAACAGUAGUAUCAAAGCCACAGAUUUUUGAAAAU